CAGCCUACUUAUGUGCUUCGAUUCCGCGGUACAUCCGAUGGAAAUCCUGGACAAGCUGGUGCAGGAGUUUUACUGUGUGCUGCAGAUCAAGAUAGGACUGUGCUUUAUCGAAUCCGCUUGGGACUGGGAGAGAAGACAGAUAAUGCUGCUGACUAUAUCGCAUUAAUUCUAGGACUGAAAUAUGCCAGAAUUAAAGGAUAUAAGAACAUCAUUGCUGAAUCAUACUCGCGACGUAUUGUCCUUCAGGUUCUGGGUUUUGAGUAUGCACAUAAGCCUAUUAGGUGGUUAUGGAGGCAGGUUGUGGAGUUGAAGGAAAAGUUUCACUCAUUCCACAUCCGACGAAUUCCUUCGGUAUUUAUAUACUGGUUUUGAUUUUUGAUUAUAGCUCCUUAUGUUUUUGCCUCAAGCUUAACUCAUAUGUUUCUUUUUUUCAUGUUUAAAGAGCGAAAUCCUUUUAGCGGAUGCUCAA